GAGCUACUUCCCUUUGCCACACUUUCCCGUCACGGAGCCAGCAGUCUACAGAUUAAGACCUCUGAAACGAAGCAGAACAUGCCAAUUGAAAGGACUCUGAUAUUGGAACUAUGAUGUCAUCUCUACCUGUGUCAGGGAUACUUCAACAUCCCUGCUCACUACCUUGAUUUCUGCUAGAAUUCGGGCCCUGGAGAUCUAGGUCUGCCACAGUCUGGAAAUAUGAAAUCAUCAGAAACCUUCAACACAGCUCCAAAUGUUGCAUUGCUCUUUUUGACACACAAAGCUUGAUCUCUCUCAAAAGGUUAGAGCAUCAGCACCAGCCCAUACUCCAAGUAUGUGAAAGGGAAUGGGCACAAGGGUCUUCCUGUAGUGUCCAGGCUGGUGUAGUACUCAAUGGAUCUUUCUGCCUCAACCCCCAAUUCAUAUUUUUAAAUAAAAUUCUU